GUCUUUUUGAUUAUAAUAUAAAGUCUAACCUGCCCACUGAUAUUUAAAGGGCCGCAGUAUUUUGACUGUGCAAAGGUAGCAUAAUAAUUAGUUUCUUAAUUAGAAGCUGGAAUGAAUGGUUGGACGAGAGAUUAACUGUCUUAAUUUAUUUAUUAGAAUUUUAUUUUUAAGUUAAAAAGCUUAAAUGAAUUUAAAAGACGAGAAGACCCUAUAGAGUUUUAUAAUAUAUUAUAUUUGUUAUUUAGAAUUUAUUUUAUAUUAUGUAUUAUUUUAUUGGGGUGAUAUAUAAAUUUAAAAAACUUUAUAUUUUAUUUUUCAUAAAUAUAUGAUUUAAUGAUCCGUAAUUUACGAUUAUAAGAAAAAAUUACCUUAGGGAUAACAGCGUUAUUUUUUUUUAGAGUUCAAAUCGAAAAAAAAGAUUGCGACCUCGAUGUUGGAUUAAAAUUAAUUUUUGGUGUAGAAGCUAAAAAAUUAGGUCUGUUCGACCUUUAAAAUUUUACAUGAUCUGAGUUUAAACCGGUGUGAGCCAGGUUGGUUUCUAUCUUUAAAUUAAGUAAAUAUUUUAGUACGAAAGGACCAAGUAUUUUUAAUAAUUAAUAUAUUUAGAUUA
rnacentral:rRNA from 1 species